GGGGACCUUCGGGGCCCUUGGAACUGCCGGUCUGGCCACGAUGGCCCGUCCGCAAAGCAACGGAAAGACAGUAA
rfam:Roseisalinus antarcticus strain CECT 7023 genome assembly, contig: 0020